rnacentral:rRNA from 1 species
GAUGAACGCUGGCGGCGUGCUUAACACAUGCAAGUCGAACGGAAAGGCCAGUGCUUGCACUGUUACUCGAUUGGCGAACGGGUGAGUAACACGUGGGUGAUCUGCCCUGCACUUCGGGAUAAGCCUGGGAAACUGGGUCUAAUACCGGAUAUGACAAUGUUUUGGAUGCCGUUGUGGAAAGAUUUUUCGUUGUGCUAUGAGCUCUCGGCCUAUCAGCUUGUUAGUGGGGUAAUGGCCUAGCAAGGCGUCGACGGGUAGCCGGCCUGUGAGGGUGUAGGGCCACAUUGGGACUGAGAGACGGGCAAGACUACGAAGGGAGGCAGCAGUGGGGAAUAUCGGACAAUGGGAGGAAGCCUGAUGCAACGAGGUCGCGUGGGGGAUGAAGGCUGUUGGGAUGUAAGAACAUUUCGCUAGGGAAGAAGGGUAUUUGUGACGGUACCUGGAGAAGAAGCACCGGCUAACUACGUG